GACGGAGGAUGCAAGCGUUAUCCGGAAUGAUUGGGCGUAAAGCGUCCGCAGGUGGCUGUUCAAGUCUUCUGUCAAAGACCGGGGCUUAACUUCGGAAAGGCAGUGGAAACUGAACAGCUAGAGUAUGGUAGGGGCAGAGGGAAUUCCUGGUGUAGCGGUGAAAUGCGUAGAUAUCGGGAGGAACACCUGUGGCGAAGGCGGCCCCCUGGUUGGAUACUGACGCUGAUACGCGAAAGCGUGGGGAGCAAACAGG
rnacentral:rRNA from 1 species